rnacentral:rRNA from 1 species
UCCACUUCGGGAUAACCUCGGGAAAUCGUGGCUAAUACCGGAUAUGAAUCCUUGUCGCAUGGCGGGGGUUGGAAAGAUUUAUCGGUGGGGGAUGGACUCGCGGCCUAUCAGUUUGUUGGUGAGGUAAUGGCUCACCAAGACGAUGACGGGUAGCCGGCCUGAGAGGGCGACCGGCCACACUGGGACUGAGACACGGCCCAGACUCCUACGGGAGGCAGCAGUGGGGAAUAUUGCACAAUGGGCGAAAGCCUGAUGCAGCGACGCCGCGUGAGGGAUGACGGCCUUCGGGUUGUAAACCUCUUUCAGUAGGGAAGAAGCGCAAGUGACGGUACCUGCAGAAGAAGCGCCGGCUAACUACGUGCCAGCAGCCGCGGUAAUACGUAGGGCGCAAGCGUUGUCCGGAAUUAUUGGGCGUAAAGAGCUUGUAGGUGGCUUGUCGCGUCUGCCGUGAAAACCCGAGGCUCAACCUCGGGCGUGCGGUGGGUACGGGCAGGCUAGAGUGUGGUAGGGGAGACUGGAACUCCUGGUGUAGCGGUGAAAUGCGCAGAUAUCAGGAAGAACACCGAUGGCGAAGGCAGGUCUCUGGGCCAUUACUGACACUGAGAAGCGAAAGCAUGGGUAGCGAACAGGAUUAGAUACCCUGGUAGUCCAUGCCGUAAACGUUGGGCACUAGAUGUGGGGGACAUUCCACGUUUUCCGCGUCGUAGCUAACGCAUUAAGUGCCCCGCCUGGGGAGUACGGCCGCAAGGCUAAAACUCAAAGGAAUUGACGGGGGCCCGCACAAGCGGCGGAGCAUGCUGAUUAAUUCGAUGCAACGCGAAGAACCUUACCAAGGCUUGACAUGCACCGGACGACUCCAGAGAUGGGGUUUUCUUCGGACUGGUGCACAGGUGGUGCAUGGUUGUCGUCAGCUCCUGUCCUGAAAUGUUGGGUUAAGUCCCCCAACCAGCGCAACCCUUGUUCUAUGUUGCCAGCACUUGAUGGUGGGGACUCAUAAGAGACUGCCGGGGUCAACUCCGGAGGAAAG